rnacentral:rRNA from 1 species
AGACUGAACGCUGGCGGCAUGCCUAACACAUGCAAGUCGAACGGCAGCAUGUCCCCGCAAGGGGAUGAUGGCGAGUGGCGGACGGGUGAGGAAUACAUCGGAAUCUACCCCGUUGUGGGGGAUAACCCAUCGAAAGGUGGGCUAAUACCGCAUAAGACGGAGACGUGAAAGCGGGGGACCUUCGGGCCUCGCGCGAUGGGAUGAGCCGAUGUCGGAUUAGCUAGUUGGCGGGGUAAGAGCCCACCAAGGCGACGAUCCGUAGCUGGUCUGAGAGGAUGAUCAGCCACACUGGGACUGAGACACGGCCCAGACUCCUACGGGAGGCAGCAGUGGGAAUAGUUGGACAAUGGGCGACAAGCCUGAUCCAGCAAUGCCGCGUGUGUGAAGAAGGCCUUCGGUUAGUAAGCUACUUUUAGUCGGAGACGAAAGCGAACGGCGAAGUAACCCGCGUACAUAGACGGUACCCGAGGAAUAAGCACCGGCUAACUUCCGCG